GAUGAACGCUAGCGGCAGGCCUCAUACAUGCAAGUCGAGGGGCAGCAUGAUACUUCGGUAUUGAUGGCGACCGGCGAACGGGUGCGUAACGCGUAUGCAAUCUGCCUUGUACAGGGGAAUAGCUUUUGGAAACGAGAAUUAAUACCCCAUAUUAUCUAAUUUUUGCAUAAAUUUUAGAUGAAAGCUCCGGCGGUACAAGAUGAGCAUGCGUCCCAUUAGCUUGUUGGUAAGGUAACGGCUUACCAAGGCUACGAUGGGUAGGGGGUCUGAGAGGAUGAUCCCCCACACUGGCACUGAGAUACGGGCCAGACUCCUACGGGAGGCAGCAGUAGGGAAUAUUGGGCAAUGGGCGCAAGCCUGACCCAGCCAUGCCGCGUGCAGGAUUGAAGGUUCUUAGAAUUGUAAACUGCUUUUAUAUGGGAGCAAUAACUUUCUGCGGAAAGGUAUGAGAGUACCAUAAGAAUAAGCACCGGCUAACUCCGUGCCAGCCGCCGCCGUAACAC
rnacentral:rRNA from 1 species